rnacentral:rRNA from 1 species
GGUUUGAUUAUGGCUCAGAUUGAACGCUGGCGGGAUGCUUUACACAUGCAAGUCGAACGGCAGCACGGACUUCGGUCUGGUGGCGAGUGGCGAACGGGUGAGUAAUGUAUCGGAACGUGCCUGUAGGGAAGGGGAUAACUACGCGAAAAGGUAGCUAAUACCGCAUACGCCCUUCGGGGGAAAGCGGGGACCUUCACCCCUGCACUAGAGCGGCCGAUACUGGAUUACUAGUUGGGCGGUAACGGCUCACCAAGGCGACGAUCCGCAGCUGGUUUGAGGGACGAGACCAGCCACACUGGGACUGAGACACGGCCUGUAUUCCUACGGGAGCAGCAGGGGAAUUUUGGACAAUGGGGGAAACCCUGAUCCAGUCCCGCGUGUGCGAUGAAGGCCUUCGGGUUGUAAAGCACUUUUGGCAGGAAGAAACGGCACGGAUAAUACCCCGCGCAACUGACGGUACCCGCAGAAUAAGCACCGGCUAACCACGCCAGCAGCCGCGGUAUUACUUGUGGUGCAAGCGUUAAUCGAACGACAUGUAAAGUGGCGCAGGCGGUUCUGGAAAAGAUGUGAAAUCCCAGAGCUUAACUUUGGAACCAGGUGCAUUUUUAACUAUCGAGCCAGGAGUGUGUCAGAGGGAGGGGAAUCGCGCAGCAGUGAAAAUGCGUAGAUAUGCGGAGGAACACCUGAUGCGAAGGCAGCCCGUGAUGUUAACGACGUCUUAUGCACGAAAGCGUGGGGAGCAACAGGAUUAGAUACCCUGGUAGUCCACGCCCUAAACGAUGUCAACUAGCUGUUGGGGCCUUCGGGCCUUGGUAGCGCAGCUAACGCGGUUGACCGCCGCCUGGGGAGAAGUACGGUCGCGUUGAUUAAAACCCAAAGGAAUUGACGGGGACCCGCACAAGCGGUGGAUGAUGUGGAUUAAUUGAUGCAACACGAAACUACCUACCCUUGACAUGUCUGGAAUCCCAGAAGAGAUCGGGAGGCCCGUGGUAAGAGGAACCGGAACACAGGUGCUGCAUGGCUACUGCCAGCUCGUGUCGAGAUGUUGUUAAGUCCUGCAACGAGCAACCCUUGUCAUUAGUUGCUACGAAAGGGCACUCUAGACGGAGACUGCCGGUGACAAACCGGAGGGGGAAGGUGGGGAUGACGUCAUCCUCAUGGCCCUUAUGGGUAGGGCUUCACACGUCAUACAAUGGUCGGGACAGAGGGUCGCCAACCAUGAGGGGGCAGCCAAUCCCAGAAACCCGAUCGUAGUCCGGAUCGCAGUCUGCAACUCGACUGCGCAGUCGGAAUCGCUAGUAAUCGCGGAUCAGCAUGUCGCGGUGAAUACGUUCCCGGUCUUGUACACACCGCCCGUCACACCAUGGAGUGGGUUUUACCAGAAGUAGUUAGCCUAACCGUAAGAGGGCGAUUACCACGGUAGGAUUCAUGAUUGGGUGAAGUCGUAACAAGGUAA